rnacentral:lncRNA from 1 species
AAAAUUGGUGCAACCUUCAUCUUCAUCACCCUCGAUCAAAGCAGCUAAGUGUUGUUCAUUACCAUGAAUGAACCCUCCGCUAUGGAAAUUGGGUUGUACAUCUUCAGCUCUAUUCAUAGAUGACCCUUGUUGGAAUCCCAAACCAGCUCUGCUCUUGUUGUCGGCGACCUCUAACAUCUGUCCCCAUUGAUCAGACUUACCAUUCUCAAUAAUUUCCUAUGCAUCUCUAAAUGAGGACAUGGUGUCGCAACCUGAAAAAUAUAGUGUGCGGAAAAAC